UGGGGAAUUUUGGACAAUGGGCGAAAGCCUGAUCCAGCCAUGCCGCGUGAGUGAAGAAGGCCUUCGGGUUGUAAAGCUCUUUUAGUCGGAAAGAAAGAGUUGCAAUGAAUAAUUGUGAUUUAUGACGGUACCGACAGAAAAAGCACCGGCUAACUACGUGCCAGCAGCCGCGGUAAUACGUAGGGUGCUAGCGUUAAUCGGAAUUACUGGGCGUAAUGGGUGCGCAGGCGGUCUUGCAAGUCAGAUGUGAAAGCCACGGGCUUAACCUGGGAAUUGCGUUUGAAACUACAAGGCUAGAGUGCAGCAGAGGGGAGUGGAAUUCCAUGUGUAGCAGUGAAAUGCGUAGAGAUGUGGAAGAACACCGAUGGCGAAGGCAGCUCCCUGGGUUGACACUGACGCUCAUGCACGAAAGCGUGGGGAGCAAACA
rnacentral:rRNA from 1 species